GAUGAACGCUGGCGGCGUGCCUAAUACAUGCAAGUCGAGCGAAAAGACGCGGAGCUUGCGGCUUUGACGUUAGCGGCGCACGGGAGAGAAACACGUGGAAAACCUACCUAUAUGACUGGUAACAUCACGGGAAACCGGAGCUAAUACGGGAGAAUCUAUUGAUCCGCAGGGGUCAUUAGUAAAAUACGGUUUUUCUGGCACUUAUAGCUGGUUCCGCGCCGCAUUAUCUAGUUGGUAAGUUAACGGCUUACCAAGGCAACGAGGCGUAGCCGAGCGGAGAGGGUGAUCGGCCACAUGGGAACUGAGACACCGUCAAUGCUCCUACGAGAGGCAGCAGUAGGGAAUCUUCCGCAGUGGUCGAAAACCUUGCGGAGCAACGCCGCGCGAGAUAUGGAGGUCUUCGGAUCGUAAAGCUCUGUUAUUAGGGAAGAACAAAUGUGUAAGUAACUAAGCCCGUCUUGACGGUACCUAAUCAGAAAGCCCCGGCUAACUACGUG
rnacentral:rRNA from 1 species